ACAAUGACACAGCCAGAUAUGGAGUCCAAAUUCCUCUCCAUCUGUGCCCAGUAAGAGGAACCAGGUAAACACUCCUGCUUUUCCCUUCCUAUUUAAUCACCUACCACUCUGAAGAGGGCUGACUAUGAAUCUCAGACACUGGAAACCAGAAGACUUAUCAGAAGAGAGAUCUUGGAAUGCAUAAAAAGUUAUAGCAGGAGUGAGAGGGCAGAAGAUUUUCAUUAUCUGGACUUACUACAUCUUGCUACAGACAUUCUUUUGUGAAUACUUGGCAAUAUCUAAGACAAUGGAAAUAGACUGAGGGAAGUGAGACCAAUUCCUCGUAACUCCAGGACUGCUGUGCUUGGGUCUUCAGAAAUGAGCUGGACACGUAUGUUCCAUCUGCUUAAAACAUCUCCAUAGUUCUUAAGAACAUCACCCCGGGAAGAAGAAAAGUGAUAUACAGAUGACCUGUGACUGAAAACAGCCUUGUUUUUUUCUGUUUCCAGCUGUUCCUAUAGAAGUGACUAUUUCUGCAGGACACUGAAUUUUUGGGAAAUACUUACUGUUAAUAGAAGAGGUCAGCAUUUUGCCAGAUUAAGUCUUUCUUGGUGGAGAAUGGAGAAAGAGACCAGACAAAUUCUAUCAAUAUCUUUGCUACAGAUUACAGAACUCAACUGAAGGAAUAAUUCCUUUUAGGCAGCAACAGAAACUUCCAUGUGCUAUUUUCCUAAAUUAUUGCAGCUCAAAUUUCAGUGAGUAAAUGCAUACCCCUUUAACUUUGUGUGUGAAAGGCCACUUCGCGUCUACUCUUUUGGCCAACAGCAUCAAACAGUUCAAAAAUGUAUUUGUUCUUGGGGCUGUUCACAGGAAGUUGUACUGUUUAUAAAACAGUAUUACCAAUCAUAACCGUCUCCAGCUGAAUAGCUUUAAAAUAGGUAGCAUGGAUACCAGUAACACACCUGCUAAAGCAGCACAAAACAUGCAAACACCUCAGCAGGGUAAGUUACCUUUACCUUAUGCUACUGCAAUUAAACUGCUUCUUUUAACUUUGUUUUUCAUGAGCUUGGGUGUCUAGCAGAAUUCAGGGGGUGACUAUCAAACUGGCCUCCCCAAUUUUCACUCCAAAGAAAGGAGUCAGAAGAUAUAUUUGAAAGUGUAUAUAUACACACAUACAUACACCUACCUGUAAAAGAGGGAUGUCAGGAGAAGCCACAAACUAAUAAACAUGGAGCAGAGGUAAUAGACAAGGCAGAUUUUCAGGCUGGAGAAAGUGGAUACAUAAAAAUAAAAAGACCACCAUAAGUGGGUAAGGAACUACACAAACAGCUUAUUUCCCACCAGGCCUACAAUGCUUAAUACUCCCAGAAUGGAAAUACUAAAGCUGGUUGAAGUCAUCUGUGGAUGAUUUUCUUGCAAAAGAGUCAGCCUUACAAGCAUCAACUACAGCACACCACUUUUGUUUUUCCUACAGGGAAAUUUAUAAGAACUUUCAAAUGUUAUUUCAGAGCAGAAUUUUGAAUGGUUUCCAGUAAAAGCUACCAGUAGGCUCAGAUGCCUAUUUCAAAGAAGCCUGUGUAUCAUUCUAAUGCUCUCCACAUUGAAGUUCUUGUUUGUCUCAUAAGUUGUACAGGGCAAUGUGUGCUAUCUCCUACAUGGACAGAUGUACAGUGACUUAGCAUCCCAGGCUAAUGCCGUGCAAAUUCAAUUAUACAUGCUGCUUUUCUGAGAAAUGGGGACAUAUGCUAAACAAAUGCAAAACUGGGUUUUAGAGAAGUAGUCACUUGAAGUUUGUUGACAGGAACAGCAAGCAGCAUCUCGUGAAGUUUCAGGAGUCCAACUCAUACCUCAUGGACAACACGUUGACAUGGAAUCUUCCACAGCUGCUAGCAACCACAGGACACCAACAAACGGCUCCAAGAAGAAUGCACACAGAUGCUUUCAUCCCCAGUCUUUGUAGAAAUAGUCUAUCAAACCCACAGGCAAGAUCACCACAGCAUACAAUCAUCCCAGCAUAGCACAGGUCAUCCUCUGGUAUGUGCUAGUAAUAAAGCUAAGCAAGGAUCAUUAUUUUUUUCCUUAUCUCACAGUGGUACUGCUUCUUUCUCUGUUGAACUGGUUCUAAGAAUUACAGGCAUCAGUUCAAAGUACAAACAGAAGAGGUUAACAUCUAGUUACAAUCUGCAUAGGAAGAUGAGCAGCCAACAAUCUAGAGCAACGAGAACACUGCACACUAACCCUGCAGUGAGUGCGUGCUACCCUCAAUAUGACACCACCAUUGUGAAGGAGGGGUUGCAGUGUUUUCUUCAGCUCCUGCUUCAAAGUGUUAUUUGUGGGUCAGCAAAAACACAAGAACAAAGCAGUGUCUCUGAUACG